GCACUAUCAGUUCAUUCUGUCACUUCUGUGUGGUGAAGGGGCAGGUCAGUUAGUGCUAGAAAAAUGCGGAGAUAAUCCAGAUGGCACAUUUUUUUUCUAGUGUUCUGUCUCUACACCUCUGCUACACCA